UACGAAGGGGGCUAGCGUUGUUCGGAAUUACUGGGCGUAAAGCGUGCGCAGGCGGCUUCUCAAGUCAGGGGUGAAAGCCCAGAGCUUAACUCUGGAAUUGCCUUUGAGACUGAGAGGCUUGAGUACGGGAGAGGUGAGUGGAAUUCCCAGUGUAGAGGUGAAAUUCGUAGAUAUUGGGAAGAACACCGGUGGCGAAGGCGGCUCUCUGGACCGAUACUGACGCUGAGGCGCGAAAGCGUGGGGAGCAAACAGG
rnacentral:rRNA from 1 species